ACCUACGGGGGGCAGCAGUAGGGAAUUUUCGUCAAUGGGCGCAAGCCUGAACGAGCAAUGCCGCGUGAACGAGGAAGGUCUUCGGAUCGUAAAGUUCUGUUGAAGGGGAAAAAGAGCGGAGAGAGGAAACGGUCUCCGAUUGAUAUUACCCUUCGAGGAAGUCACGGCUAACUACGUGCCAGCAGCCGCGGUAAUACGUAGGUGGCGAGCGUUAUCCGGAAUGAUUGGGCGUAAAGGGUGCGUAGGCGGCCUGCUAAGUCUGGAGUGAAAGGUACCGGCUCAACCGGUACAGGCUCUGGAAACUG
rnacentral:rRNA from 1 species